GGUUAAGCGACUAAGCGUACACGGUGGAUGCCCUGGCAGUCAGAGGCGAUGAAGGACGUGCUAAUCUGCGAUAAGCGUCGGUAAGGUGAUAUGAACCGUUAUAACCGGCGAUUUCCGAAUGGGGAAACCCAGUGUGAUUCGUCACACUAUCAUUAACUGAAUCCAUAGGUUAAUGAGGCGAACCGGGGGAACUGAAACAUCUAAGUACCCCGAGGAAAAGAAAUCAACCGAGAUUCCCCCAGUAGCGGCGAGCGAACGGGGAGCAGCCCAGAGCCUGAAUCAGUGUGUGUGUUAGUGGAAGCGUCUGGAAAGGCGUGCGAUACAGGGUGACAGCCCCGUACACAAAAAUGCACAUACUGUGAGCUCGAUGAGUAGGGCGGGACACGUGGUAUCCUGUCUGAAUAUGGGGGGACCAUCCUCCAAGGCUAAAUACUCCUGACUGACCGAUAGUGAACCAGUACCGUGAGGGAAAGGCGAAAAGAACCCCGGCGAGGGGAGUGAAAAAGAACCUGAAACCGUGUACGUACAAGCAGUGGGAGCACGCUUAGGCGUGUGACUGCGUACCUUUUGUAUAAUGGGUCAGCGACUUAUAUUCUGUAGCAAGGUUAACCGAAUAGGGGAGCCGAAGGGAAACCGAGUCUUAACUGGGCGUUAAGUUGCAGGGUAUAGACCCGAAACCCGGUGAUCUAGCCAUGGGCAGGUUGAAGGUUGGGUAACACUAACUGGAGGACCGAACCGACUAAUGUUGAAAAAUUAGCGGAUGACUUGUGGCUGGGGGUGAAAGGCCAAUCAAACCGGGAGAUAGCUGGUUCUCCCCGAAAGCUAUUUAGGUAGCGCCUCGUGAAUUCAUCUCCGGGGGUAGAGCACUGUUUCGGCAAGGGGGUCAUCCCGACUUACCAACCCGAUGCAAACUGCGAAUACCGGAGAAUGUUAUCACGGGAGACACACGGCGGGUGCUAACGUCCGUCGUGAAGAGGGAAACAACCCAGACCGCCAGCUAAGGUCCCAAAGUCAUGGUUAAGUGGGAAACGAUGUGGGAAGGCCCAGACAGCCAGGAUGUUGGCUUAGAAGCAGCCAUCAUUUAAAGAAAGCGUAAUAGCUCACUGGUCGAGUCGGCCUGCGCGGAAGAUGUAACGGGGCUAAACCAUGCACCGAAGCUGCGGCAGCGACGCUUAUGCGUUGUUGGGUAGGGGAGCGUUCUGUAAGCCUGUGAAGGUGUGCUGUGAGGUAUGCUGGAGGUAUCAGAAGUGCGAAUGCUGACAUAAGUAACGAUAAAGCGGGUGAAAAGCCCGCUCGCCGGAAGACCAAGGGUUCCUGUCCAACGUUAAUCGGGGCAGGGUGAGUCGACCCCUAAGGCGAGGCCGAAAGGCGUAGUCGAUGGGAAACAGGUUAAUAUUCCUGUACUUGGUGUUACUGCGAAGGGGGGACGGAGAAGGCUAUGUUGGCCGGGCGACGGUUGUCCCGGUUUAAGCGUGUAGGCUGGUUUUCCAGGCAAAUCCGGAAAAUCAAGGCCGAGGCGUGAUGACGAGGCACUACGGUGCUGAAGCAACAAAUGCCCUGCUUCCAGGAAAAGCCUCUAAGCAUCAGGUAACAUCAAAUCGUACCCCAAACCGACACAGGUGGUCAGGUAGAGAAUACCAAGGCGCUUGAGAGAACUCGGGUGAAGGAACUAGGCAAAAUGGUGCCGUAACUUCGGGAGAAGGCACGCUGAUACGUAGGUGAAGCGACUUGCUCGUGGAGCUGAAAUCAGUCGAAGAUACCAGCUGGCUGCAACUGUUUAUUAAAAACACAGCACUGUGCAAACACGAAAGUGGACGUAUACGGUGUGACGCCUGCCCGGUGCCGGAAGGUUAAUUGAUGGGGUUAGCGCAAGCGAAGCUCUUGAUCGAAGCCCCGGUAAACGGCGGCCGUAACUAUAACGGUCCUAAGGUAGCGAAAUUCCUUGUCGGGUAAGUUCCGACCUGCACGAAUGGCGUAAUGAUGGCCAGGCUGUCUCCACCCGAGACUCAGUGAAAUUGAACUCGCUGUGAAGAUGCAGUGUACCCGCGGCAAGACGGAAAGACCCCGUGAACCUUUACUAUAGCUUGACACUGAACAUUGAGCCUUGAUGUGUAGGAUAGGUGGGAGGCUUUGAAGUGUGGACGCCAGUCUGCAUGGAGCCGACCUUGAAAUACCACCCUUUAAUGUUUGAUGUUCUAACGUGGACCCGUGAUCCGGGUUGCGGACAGUGUCUGGUGGGUAGUUUGACUGGGGCGGUCUCCUCCUAAAGAGUAACGGAGGAGCACGAAGGUUGGCUAAUCCUGGUCGGACAUCAGGAGGUUAGUGCAAUGGCAUAAGCCAGCUUGACUGCGAGCGUGACGGCGCGAGCAGGUGCGAAAGCAGGUCAUAGUGAUCCGGUGGUUCUGAAUGGAAGGGCCAUCGCUCAACGGAUAAAAGGUACUCCGGGGAUAACAGGCUGAUACCGCCCAAGAGUUCAUAUCGACGGCGGUGUUUGGCACCUCGAUGUCGGCUCAUCACAUCCUGGGGCUGAAGUAGGUCCCAAGGGUAUGGCUGUUCGCCAUUUAAAGUGGUACGCGAGCUGGGUUUAGAACGUCGUGAGACAGUUCGGUCCCUAUCUGCCGUGGGCGCUGGAGAACUGAGGGGGCUGCUCCUAGUACGAGAGGACCGGAGUGGACGCAUCACUGGUGUUCGGGUUGUCAUGCCAAUGGCACUGCCCGGUAGCUAAAUGCGGAAGAGAUAAGUGCUGAAAGCAUCUAAGCACGAAACUUGCCCCGAGAUGAGUUCUCCCUGACCCUUUAAGGGUCCUGAAGGAACGUUGAAGACGACGACGUUGAUAGGCCGGGUGUGUAAGCGCAGCGAUGCGUUGAGCUAACCGGUACUAAUGAACCGUGAGGCUUAACCUU
rnacentral:rRNA from 1 species